GUCUGUCUCUCUAAUCUCGUGGGAUUAACGUGCGGUCGAGCAUCAGGCAUGUUCAAGGGAGAGAAGGAAGACACUGGCGACGGAAGAGAGACAGAUCGUUGAAGAAGAGAGAGAGGGAGAGACGGUGUUGAGUCGAACGUCCAGAAAACAGGAGAAUAAAACCAGCUGAGGAUCUACCUACCUGAACAAGGUGCUUCAUAUUGAAAAGGCACCUGUCAUCUUUGACCAUGUCUAAGGACCAGUGUGAAUCCGUAGCAGUGAGCAUCGAGUCCCUUUUAACCGACGCAGUUAAGAUGCAGUCCCAGUGCCGGGAGCGUAGUGAGCAGCUAGCCGUGGCCGCCGUCGCACUGAGGGAGGAGUCGGCGUGCUUGAGAGAACAGUGUCAAGCCACCCAGCUGGAUAUGGCCCGAAUGAGAAGACAGUUAGAAGAACUGCUGGAUACCAAGGCUCAGAUGGAGGCCAGUGAUAGAAUGCACCGCAAACUCAGCAAGACACUCUAAAUGGAAGAGAAGGAAGAGGGGAGAGGGAGGAAAAGGGGGAUAGAGGAGAGAGAGAGAUAAGGACUGAGGAGAGAAAGAAAGGAGAAGGAGAGAAAGAGAGAGGAGAAAGAGAAGAACAGCUGGAUACCAAGGCUGCGAUGGAGUCCCGGGGUGAACACACACUUGGAAAUA